AAAGGUGGUUAAAAAAAAGAGUGACAAUUCCAGUGUUUUCCACCUUGAUCCCAACAUCACUGGCAGUGAUGACACAGCAGCAUGAAUAGAUGUCAGUGCUGUAGUGUCAUCAUCUAUGUCUGGUGUCUCGGGCUUGAAGGUUUCUCUGACAUAACUCAAAUGAUUUUGCAGAAAUAGAAAUUUUAGGGAAGAGCUCCUUGGACUGUGCAUGUGCUGGCAGUUGUGAAAAGAAAAGUGAUGCUCAUGGUUUUGUGUAUCUCUGCAUUUUUAAUCUUAUGGACAGAAAAUUGAAGAGAAUUUAGAGAGUGAUAACCAAAAGCAGUGUAGAAGCAUGAAAUUUAUAAAGAAGCUUUCAGUCAAGGCAGAUUUGUUUCAAGAACCCUUAAUGAAACCUAAAGCUGUGUUAUGGUAGUCCAGACAAUAAAUAAGAGAGAACAACAAAGUAAGAUUCCACAAAUCCCAAGUACAAAGCUUGUUUAGGGAAAAUCACAGAAUAUGCACUUGGAGAUAUCUCCAUCCCUUGGUUUUUGACUUGAACCUGAGCAAAAAAAAAAGGGGAAUGAAAAUAAUUUUAUCUCAAACACCCCACCUAAAAUGCAGAAUGCCAACAUUCUGCAGUUUGUCUCUUGUUUACUGAUCUCCCUGUUUCCAUGUCCCAUUUCUCUCCUCUGCAUGCAGACAUAUAUAGAAAUAAAAUUAAUUAGAGAAUUUGUAUUAAUCCUUAGCUGCAAAGUUUUCUUGACUUUUUGAGAGUUAAAGGCUGAUUUACUCCUCCACAAACAUAUAAAUAAUGUUCACUCUCUAGUCCCCUGUCUCUUCAUUAAAUUUUACUUUGUCAGUUCUUUUUAAAAUUAGUCUUAGCAACUCACCAAUGCAUUUUCCCACCAUGGUGUAAGUACGACUGACCUUCAGUAGGAGUGGUGUCUGCUGAAAGGCUGUGGAGGCAAGCCUAGAGUCAAAACCAGGGUCAAAUCCUAAGUAACUGGCUGUUCUGUUAAUGCAUAAUCAGAUUCUCUAGCUCCAGUGAUUUUGUCAGUACACCAUGCUCACUAUAUAAUGUUUUAAAUCCAUCCCCAAAUGCUUCAUUCACACUAUUCAACAUUCCAAGUACCAUUCCUCCCACCCAUCUGUCUGGCACAUGAAUUGCCAAACACCUUUCCUCAGUUGGGUCUUGGUGAAGUUGAUGCAAAAAGAGAUGCAAGGUGGCUCUCGCUGAAGUCCUGCACAGCCCCAGGACCACUGUGCUGGAGGAGUGGAAUCCCCAGAGCUCCCCUUGGAGUCCAGCAGCAGCACCAGGUUUGGUUCACUGCAACCAGUGCUGCUGUCUCCCUGGCAGAUCUGCAGAUCUUCAGGCUACGUGAAAUUCUUUCACCACAAGCAGGACAUAAACUUCUGGAUCAGGCAGUUGCAGCCUUCCUGGCCUAGGACUCUACAGCAAUUUCCUUGGCAACAGCCUGGAGAGGACACUGGAUGAUGGUGGCUACUUGGCUAAGGAUGUUGGAGAACAGGCUUUUUCUGCAGGGGGGUUUUCAUGUCAGUACUUGAAAACCGUGUUUUGCUGGAGGGAUGCCAUCUGCAACUCCCAAAAGAGCAGCUAAUGAACGUGCCAGUUCCUUCCUGAAGUGGUGCAAGAGAGCCUGUCCCACCUGGGUAAACACAGCCUGGGCUCCUCCCAAGCCCAGGCCACUGCUGGCUGCAGCUCUGACUGUGGAAAACGCUUGGACAG